GAUGAACGCUGGCGGCGUGCCUAAUACAUGCAAGUAGAACGCUGAAGCUUGGUGCUUGCACCGAGCGGAUGAGUUGCGAACGGGUGAGUAACGCGUAGGUAACCUGCCUCUUAGCGGGGGAUAACUAUCGGAAACGAUAGCUAAUACCGCAUAAAAGACGAUAUCGCAUGAUAUUGAUUUGAAAGGUGCAAUUGCAUCACUAAGAGAUGGACCUGCGUUGUAUUAGCUAGUUGGUGAGGUAACGGCUCACCAAGGCGACGAUACAUAGCCGACCUGAGAGGGUGAUCGGCCACACUGGGACUGAGACACGGCCCAGACUCCUACGGGAGGCAGCAGUAGGGAAUCUUCGGCAAUGGGGGCAACCCUGACCGAGCAACGCCGCGUGAGUGAAGAAGGUUUUCGGAUCGUAAAGCUCUGUUGUAAGAGAAGAACGAGUGUGAGAGUGGAAAGUUCACACUGAGACGUAACUACCAGAAAGGAC
rnacentral:rRNA from 1 species